rnacentral:rRNA from 1 species
UGUUGCCUACGGGGGGCAGCAGUGGGGAAUAUUGCACAAUGGGGGGAACCCUGAUGCAGCAAUGCCGCGUGGGUGAAGAAGCACUCCGGUGCGUAAAGCCCUGUCAGCAGGGAAGAAAAUGACAGUACCUGGACAAGAAGCCCCGGCUAACUACGUGCCAGCAGCCGCGGUAAUACGGAGGAUGCGAGCGUUAUCCGGAUUUAUUGGGUUUAAAGGGUGCGUAGGCGGGCUGUUAAGUCAGCGGUAAAAGCCCGUGGCUCAACCCCGGCGAGCCGUUGAAACUGGCUGUCUUGAGAUGUCGAGAG